GAUGAACGCUGGCGGCGUGCCUAAUACAUGCAAGUAGAACGCUGAAGGAAGGAGCUUGCUCUUUCCGGAUGAGUUGCGAACGGGUGAGUAACGCGUAGGUAACCUGCCUGGUAGCGGGGGAUAACUAUUGGAAACGAUAGCUAAUGCCGCAUAACAGUAGAUGUUGCAUGAUAUCUACUUAAAAGGUGCAAUUGCACCACUACCAGAUGGACCUGCGUUGUAUUAGCUAGUUGGUGAGGUAACGGCUCACCAAGGCGACGAUACAUAGCCGACCUGAGAGGGUGAUCGGCCACACUGGGACUGAGACACGGCCCAGACUCCUACGGGAGGCAGCAGUAGGGAAUCUUCGGCAAUGGACGGAAGUCUGACCGAGCAACGCCGCGUGAGUGAAGAAGGUUUUCGGAUCGUAAAGCUCUGUUGUAAGAGAAGAACGAGUGUGAGAGUGGAAAGUUCACACUGUGACGGUAUCUUACCAGAAAGGGACGGCUAACUACGUG
rnacentral:rRNA from 1 species